AUGGAGAGAUGGCUCAGUGGUUA
rnacentral:piRNA from 1 species